rnacentral:lncRNA from 1 species
AAUAACUAACACUGGGUUUUAACUCGAGAACGCUCUAGGUUCCUUUCUGCUCCAAUAGCAUUAUGUAACUCAUGCUAAGCCUCUCCUAAAGCUGCUACCACAGGAGCAGUGAAAAAGCCCAAGUACCAAAUUAGCCAGAGAUUUCUUAUAAGUUGACAGCUUUCUCAAGCCACAAAAUGCUUCGGGUACAGGUUUCCCUUCAGGAAAGUCAGACUCAUAUCCUUGGAAGGAAUUAAAAUGUUUGUCAAGCAGGCUCCUCCUCAUAAAAAAUGCCCGUCCCGACAUUUUCCAAGGGUGCGCUGGAGGGAGGAGCACACCAGCUGGAGCCAAAUGGACUCUCUAAAUUGAGGAGAUGAUGCUGGGAGCCUAGGGUCAGAAAUGAGGAGGCGGAAAGAGUCGAGAAAUCAGAGGUUUCCCAGCAAGGUCAAAGCAAGUGCCCUGACCCAGACAAUGGAGCUUGCUGUGGAGCUGUGGGUCCUGGAGACCCAGGCUUCAGCCCUGACUUCGACACUUUCCUCAGUGCCCACCUUUCAUCUGGAUGAUGCAGAGAAAGUCAACUAAAGCAGAUGCUGGCUGAGUCACAGCGUGAUGAAGCAUUGCUAACCCAAGACGUGAAUCGAGAGCACGUGGGGGAUACUGCUUUUAUGCUGAACUAGGAAGACAGCAGCCGCCAUCAAAGCCAGAAUCGAACAUAAAAUUUAACAAUCAAACACGACAAAAACAGUUUAAAAAUGGAUUUGUACUUUGUUUAUCAUCUGUUCCCCCAUGUUAGAAUGUUAGCUCUAUGAGAACAGAGCUUUCACUUCUGCUUCCUCUCCACUGUGUCUUCAGGACAACAAACACUGCC